rnacentral:rRNA from 1 species
ACCCGCUGAACUUAAGCAUAUCAAUAAGCGGAGGAAAAGAAACUAACAAGGAUUCCCCUAGUAACUGCGAGUGAAGCGGGAAAAGCUCAAAUUUAAAAUCUGGUGGCCUUUGGUCAUCCGAGUUGUAAUUUAGAGAAGCGUCUUCCGCGCUGAACCGUGCACAAGUCUCCUGGAAUGGAGCGUCAUAGAGGGUGAGAAUCCCGUCUUUGGCACGGAACAUCAGGGCUUCUGUGAUGCGCUCUCGACGAGUCGAGUUGUUUGGGAAUGCAGCUCAAAAUGGGUGGUGAACUCCAUCUAAAGCUAAAUAUUGGCGAGAGACCGAUAGCGAACAAGUACCGUGAGGGAAAGAUGAAAAGCACUUUGGAAAGAGAGUGAAACAGUACGUGAAAUUGUUGAAAGGGAAACGCUUGAAGUCAGUCGCGUCGACCGAGACUCAGCCUUGCCUUGGCUUGGUGUACUUCUCGGCUUGACGGGUCAGCAUCAAUUUUGGUCCUCGGAUAAUGGCAAGGGAAAGGUAGCACCUUUUCAGGUGUGUUAUAGUCCUUUGUCGCAUACGGGGGCUGGGAUUGA